rnacentral:rRNA from 1 species
UACGUAGGGGGCAAGCGUUAUCCGGAUUUACUGGGUGUAAAGGGAGCGUAGACGGUAAUGUAAGUCUGAUGUGAAAGCCCGGGGCUCAACCCCGGGACUGCUUUGGAAACUGCAUAGCUGGAGUGCUGGAGAGGCAAGCGGAAUUCCUAGUGUAGCGGUGAAAUGCGUAGAUAUUAGGAGGAACACCAGUGGCGAAGGCGGCUUACUGGACUGUAACUGACGUUGAGGCUCGAAAGCGUGGGGAGCAAACAGG